UUCAUAAGCUGCCCAGACCCUGGAAAAACAAUCAUCCCCACAGGAAACUCCAGCAGGCUAGAGGUACAAUACAUGUAGAUCGUGUACUUGCAAGUGCGUACUAUUGGGAAAAUUUAAGGAUAACCUGAGUCUCAGAUCCCAAGUGCAGUUCUUUGGAUAUGUCAGGAUUAGUUUUCUUGUGCACAAAAUUAAAGAAAGCCAGCUCUAAGACUAAGCAGUCAGAAACUAACAAGCCAUCUGGUUGAAUCAGCAAAGCUCCUGGUUUUUGAGGAGGAACCAAUGCUGGAGAAGGUUCACAUCAAUCUGGGAUAAAAUUCCAUACAUUCAGGCUUUUAUGUUACUCCAUAAUAAAGCUACCUCACGGAAAAGGAACCCAACUGAUGGUCUGAAGAGAUGAGAGUAGACAAAAAUUUCCGACACCUGACCCCCUUCCCAAGAGUCAAAAUAAUGAGGAAUGGGGGAGGAAGAGAGGCAGACCCUGGAAAUCCUACAACCAUCUGGCCAGACACAGACACAAGGACCAAUGCCCAAGCCACUGCCAGCUCCUCCACCUCCUCCAGGGACGUGAGAAGCAAGCAGAGAAAAAGCCCUUUCUGCAGGAGUGAGAGACAGGAAAUGAAGAUAAGAGCAAGUGAGUCCAGACUUGGAAUCCGUCUCUGGCCUCGCAGGCAGCAGCCUUAACACCUCUGCCUCCACCUCUCCUCUUGCUCCGGUACCACCACCUGUGCCGCUGAAGCUGCGGCUCCUAGACCAUCCCCGGCACCUCCCCCACCAUCAACUCCUGCUCCUCCCACCCUCACUCUCCAAGAGCCCGAAGCCCCCCAGGCUAUUGGGCCUCCUCCUUAUGAAGUUCAAACUGGAGCAAAACCUACAUCAGCAUGACGAGGCCUGAGAAUGUGUUUCAACUCCAAGAAGAUUCACAAAAAGGACUUUUGACAAAUGCCACCACUGGAAACACUGGUUAUAUUACCAAGGCUUUGACUGGAAUGUCCUAUUUGAGAGACACAUGCAUAGACUCAGAUAUGACCAGACAACUUUAAGGAAGUACAGUUGACUGAAAUGGUACCAGCAGAGCCUCUUAGAGAUGUUGGCCUGACACCUUGCUUACAGACCUCCUAGCAGCCUUACCAAGUAGUAAAGAAUGCCACUCCUGGCAGGUGCAAGAAACCUCAGGAUAUUCAGAGAACCUCAAGAGGAGAGGAACUCACUGAUACCUAUGGACAGUGCAGUAGAAUCUGAUGGCAAACACUUGGCUGAGCUCUUGGCCUUGAAAAGUAUUAAAGGUGCAAUCUGAAAUUCCUUAUAAAAGUUCCAAAAAAGCAGAUGUAUGUAUUUAAAAGAACCUGUAUGUUCGAUUACUAUUCUUGCUGUACUUCUGUAAAUAAUUCAGACAAGUUUGUUAAAACUGGACUUACUUUACAAACAAAUUGGUCUUAAUUUGGCUAUCUUUGACAGGAAUGAAGAUCACUUUCGAGACUGUACUUUAACAACACACCUUGGAAUGUUAGAUUUAGUUCUGAUUAAAUAUCUGAGUGUUUGUUGUUUGCCUAUGAAACUGGGCUGGAUUCUGGUUUCCUCCAACAUCUGGCUAUGAUUCUCCAAACCAAGGUUCCUAAUCUCCUCCCAUUUUCUAGCCUUAAAAUCAUUAGGAAUGAAAAUUGCCCUUUUUCCCGAAGCUUGGCAAACUGAAGCUGGACAACUUGAGAUAAACUUUAAAGAAGUUGCUGUAUUUGUACAGUAUAAUAUAUACACUAUAACAUAUAUAGACCAUCUGAGUGCCUGUUGCUUUAUGGGCCACACAGAAGGAUCACCAGACACAUGCUAACAACAAAGCAGAAAAAUCCGUCAGAUUGCUACUGCCUGUUCCCAUUCCAUUUGAGCCUGAUAUCUAGAAAUCUCACUAGCAGUGUUCAGGACUCAGACUCUGGGAUUCGAAGUUGUUCCAACCCUUAACCUGGGUUUUUCUCUGGUUUCCAUAGAAAUGCCUCUUGGUAAUUUACCUGAUUGCUUGCUAAACAAGGCAAAGUCUACCUGGCAGCCAAUACCAAUGGUCACACCUCUACUAGCUCCUCCUCAGAAAUAAGAAUCCAUAUAAAUAGAAUCAAACAGGGAACCACUUGGCCACAACAGGCUCUUGACCACCACUCCCCACCCCCUCCCACCAACUUUUGUUUCAAGGUGGCUGGGACUGGUUUAGUGACAUUAUCUUGGAUAACCAUAGGUAUCAAUUUUAGAGGGAAUGAGAACAUUGGGUUUAACUCUACUGUUACUAUAGCUUGGAAUAUAGUUCAGGAUAAAGUCAACAAUGUUAUAUAUAGUGCCAAAAAAAUGCAGGAAAACAUCGAAGUUCUCAGAUGACCAACUACCUCCAAUAUCCCCUCCAUUAAAACAAGAAACCAAGUUACAUCCUACACCAUGUCAAAUCCUUUUAUUCCAAAGCCCUACUGUGCCCUCUAUCAGCCUGAAGCAGUUACAGACCUCUGCCCAUGCUCCAUAAAAAUGAAAUAAAACAUGGACAAUGGGGAAUUACAACAGAGAAAAAUUUAGCGUGUCUGAAUCCAUGUUGCUUCUAUUUCUCAUGC